rnacentral:rRNA from 1 species
GAUGAACGCUGGCGGCGUGCCUAAUACAUGCAAGUCGAGCGAACAGACGAGGAGCUUGCUCCUCUGAUGUUAGCGGCGGACGGGUGAGUAACACGUGGAUAACCUACCUAUAAGACUGGGAUAACUUCGGGAAACCGGAGCUAAUACCGGAUAAUAUAUUGAACCGCAUGGUUCAAUAGUGAAAGACGGUUUUGCUGUCACUUAUAGAUGGAUCCGCGCCGCAUUAGCUUGUUGGUAAGGUAAAGGCUUACCAAGGCAACGAUGCGUAGCCGGCCUGAGGGGGUGAGAGGCCGACCUGGAACUGAGGCAAGGACCCACGUCCCACAGGAGGCAGGGAUGGGGAAGUGUCCGCAAUGGGCGAAAGGCCGAAAGCGCAACGCCGCGUGGGGGAUGGAGGGAUUCAGAUCGUAAAACUCUGUUAUUAGGGAAGAAAUAAUGUGGAAGUAACAAUGGUCGUCGUGAGGGUACCUGAUCAAGAAGCCACGGCUAACUACGUG